rnacentral:rRNA from 1 species
CCACCAAGCCUACGACGGGUAGCUGGCCUGAGAGGGUGGUCGGCCACAAGGGCACUGAGACACGGGCCCUACUCCUACGGGAGGCAGCAGUGGGGAAUCUUGGACAAUGGGCGAAAGCCUGAUCCAGCGACGCCGCGUGGGGGACGAAGCCCUUCGGGGUGUAAACCCCUGUUGCGAGGGAGGAAUAAGACCUGGAGGAAAUGCCAGGUCGAUGACUGUACCUCGCGAGAAAGCCCCGGCUAACUACGUGCCAGCAGCCGCGGUAAUACGUAGGGGGCGAGCGUUACCCGGAUUCACUGGGCGUAAAGGGGGUGUAGGCGGCUCGGUAAGUCGGGUGUGAAAUCCCACGGCUCAACCGUGGAAUUGCGCCCGAAACUGCCGAGCUUGGGGCCGGUAGAGGGAGACGGAACUGCCGGUGUAGGGGUGAAAUCCGUAGAUAUCGGCAGGAACGCCGGUGGGGAAGCCGGUCUCCUGGGCCGCGCCCGACGCUGAGGCCCGAAAGCUAGGGGAGCAAACCGGAUUAGAUACCCGGGUAGUCCUAGCCGUAAACGAUGCCCACUAGGUGUGGGGGAGUAUUUCCUCCGUGCUGUAGCUAACGCGUUAAGUGGGCCGCCUGGGGAGUACGCCCGCAAGGGUGAAACUCAAAGGAAUUGGCGGGACCCCGCACAAGCGGUGGAGCGCGUGGUUUAAUUGGAUGCUGAGCCAAGAACCUUACCAGGGCUUGACAUGCAGGUGGUACCGACCCGAAAGGGGAGGGACCCCAUCCUUUUGGGUGGGGAGCCUGCACAGGUGGUGCACGGCCGUCGUCAGCUCGUGCCGUGAGGUGUUGGGUUAAGUCCCGCAACGAGCGCAACCCCUGCCCUUAGUUGCCAUCGGUUCGGCCGGGCACUCUAAGGGGACUGCCGGCGACGAGCCGGAGGAAGGAGGGGACGACGUCAGGUACUCGUGCCCUUUAUGCCCUGGGCUACACACGCGCUACAAUGGGUGGUACAGUGGGUU